rnacentral:rRNA from 1 species
AGAACGAACGCUGGCGGCAGGCUUAACACAUGCAAGUCGAACGCUCGUAGCAAUACGGGAGUGGCAGACGGGUGAGUAACGCGUGGGAACCUUCCCUGUGGUACGGAAUAACUUCGGGAAACCGAAGCUAAUACCGUAUAUCUCCUCCGGGAGAAAGAUUUAUCGCCAUAGGAUGGGCCCGCGUUGGAUUAGCUAGUUGGUGAGGUAACGGCUCACCAAGGCAACGAUCCAUAGCUGGUCUGAGAGGAUGAUCAGCCACACUGGGACUGAGACACGGCCCAGACUCCUACGGGAGGCAGCAGUGGGGAAUAUUGGACAAUGGGCGCAAGCCUGAUCCAGCCAUGCCGCGUGGGUGAUGAAGGCCCUAGGGUUGUAAAGCCCUUUCGGCGGGGAAGAUAAUGACGGUACCCGCAGAAGAAGCCCGGCUAACUUCGCGCCAGCAGCCGC